GGAAGUACUGCCAUUUAGUAACAGAAGUUGUUCUCUAGAACUAGGAUGCUAUCAUAAAUGAACAGUAUGUGAAAUACAAUGGAAUUUACUGAUCUCACUAGAAAUAUUUGGAAAUCCUGUUGCCUGAUUUUUUUCUACACCACCCAAGGAAUAAAUAAGCAACCCCCACGCUCAGGGAGGCUACAAAAGUUGAGACCAAAGAGGAUGAAGGCACCAGUGAGGCAAAAUGAAGAAGGGUUCAUCACUCAUGGACAACAGCUACAAGAAUUCGGCAUGGAGGAGGUUCCUAUGAGCUCUACAGUGUUCAUUUAGGUGCUAACUCCUUUCUUCUUCAGCCAUACCAAUAAUCAAAGGCAGAAAGACUAAAAACCAUCACCAGAAGAGUGAAGUCUCUGUUGAACAAACAACCUCUUCUAACUGAAUCUUGGCCUGGUCUGAAAACACCAUGAAGCCCCUGAUACUGGGAGCAUUUGUUCACAACUGAACAAACAGGCCUAGUGUUUGCAGCAAGGCACUAGCAGAAGGCUGAAGCAAAACCCCAAGGUCCCUGACUUAAGGGAGUAGGGAAGGUCACUUGUUAGAAAGAAAGUCCGGAG
rnacentral:lncRNA from 1 species